AUCUAAGUACCCCGAGGAAAAGAAAUCAACCGAGAUUCCCCCAGUAGCGGCGAGCGAACGGGGAGCAGCCCAGAGUCUGAAUCAGCUUGUGUGUUAGUGGAACGGUCUGGAAAGUCCGACGGUACAGGGUGAUAGUCCCGUACACCAAAAUGCACAGGCUGUGAACUCGAAGAGUAGGGCGGGACACGUGGUAUCCUGUCUGAAUAUGGGGGGACCAUCCUCCAAGGCUAAAUACUCCUGACUGACCGAUAGUGAACCAGUACCGUGAGGGAAAGGCGAAAAGAACCCCGGCGAGGGGAGUGAAAAAGAACCUGAAACCGUGUACGUACAAGCAGUGGGAGCACCUUCGGGUGUGACUGCGUACCUUUUGUAUAAUGG
rnacentral:rRNA from 1 species